UACGGGGGGGGCAAGCGUUGUUCGGAAUUACUGGGCGUAAAGGGCUCGUAGGCAGCCAACUAAGUCGGAUGUGAAAUCCCCAGGCUUAACUGAGGAACUGCACGGGAUACUGCGAGACUUGAGAUCGGGAGAGGGAAGCGGAAUUCCGGGUGUAGCGGUGAAAUGCGUAGAUAUCCGGAGGAACACCGGUGGCGAAGGCGGCUUCCUGGACCGACACUGACGCUGAGGCGCGAAAGCUAGGGGAGCAAACGGG
rnacentral:rRNA from 1 species